UCACAUGCCUGGAAAACAGAAAGCUUCUCAAAUUCAGUAAAUAGCACUAAUGUUUGUACAGGGAAUUAGGGCACAGUGUGAUUAAGAGCAGGGAUUGUGAAGCCAGCAUGCUGGGCUUUGAAUCCCAGUACCGUGGCUAGACAUCACCAUAUUACCUUGGAGAAGUUAACUUGACCUCUGCCUGCCUUUCUAUCUGUAAGGAACUUAGGACAACAGCACCUGACCCCACACCCUGCAGCAAGAGGCUGAGAUGGUAUCCAGCAAGAGGCUGAGAUGGUAUCCAACCAGAGGCACCUGUGCAAAAUUAGGAAGCUGGAAGUGAAGCAGAGGCCUCCUCGGUGUCUCCUGCUUGACCGGCAAGCAAGCUCCAUGAAAAUAAGAAUUGUUGUGUUCAAGACUACAUCAGCCAGGGCUGGCCGAGUGGCACGGUGGUUAAGAGCU